CGUAGGGUGCGAGCGUUAAUCGGAAUUACUGGGCGUAAAGCGUGCGCAGGCGGUUUUGUAAGACAGAUGUGAAAUCCCCGGGCUCAACCUGGGACCUGCAUUUGUGACUGCAAGGCUAGAGUACGGUAGAGGGGGAUGGAAUCCCGCGUGUAGCAGUGAAAUGCGUAGAUAUGCGGAGGAACACCGAUGGCGAAGGCAAUCCCCUGGACCUGUACUGACGCUCAUGCACGAAAGCGUGGGGAGCAAACAGGAUUAGAUACCCUGGUAGUCCACGCCCUAAACGAUGUCAACUGGUUGUUGGGUCUUUACUGACUCAGUAACGAAGCUAACGCGUGAAGUUGACCGCCUGGGGAGUACGGCCGCAAGGUUG
rnacentral:rRNA from 1 species